UACAGAGGUCUCAAGCGUUGUCCGGAAUCAUUGGGCGUAAAGAGCGUGUAGGCGGUUCGGUAAGUCGGCUGUGAAAGUCCAGGGCUCAACCCUGGGAUGCCGGUCGAUACUGCCGGACUAGAGUUCGGAAGAGGCGAGUGGAAUUCCCGGUGUAGCAGUGAAAUGCGCAGAUAUCGGGAGGAACACCUAUGGCGAAGGCAGCUCGCUGGGACGUUACUGACGCUGAGACGCGAAAGCGUGGGGAGCAAACAGG
rnacentral:rRNA from 1 species